GUGAGGAAUAUUGGGCAAUGGGCGCAAGCCUGACCCAGCCAUGCCGCGUGCAGGAAGACGGCCCUAUGGGUUGUAAACUGCUUUUAAAGAGGAAGAAUAAAGAUUACGAGUAAUCUGAUGACGGUACUUUAAGAAUAAGCAUCGGCUAACUCCGUGCCAGCAGCCGCGGUAAUACGGAGGAUGCAAGCGUUAUCCGGAAUUAUUGGGUUUAAAGGGUCCGCAGGCGGACAUGUAAGUCAGUAGUGAAAUCCCGGGGCUCAACCCCGGCCGUGCUACAGAAACUGCAUGACUAGAGAAAGUUUGGAGUUGGCGGAAUGUGACAAGUAGCGGUGAAAUGCAUAGAUAUGUCACAGAACACCGAUAGCGAAAGCAGCUGACUAAGACUAUUCUGACGCUCAGGGACGAAAGCGUGGGGAGCAAACAGGAUUAGAAACCCCAGUAGUCC
rnacentral:rRNA from 1 species